rnacentral:lncRNA from 1 species
UCACAGCCUAUGGAAACACCCUUCCUUGGCUGUCUCGGCUGCCUCCCCACAACCUACGGAAACACCCUUCCUUGGAUGAUUUUCCUCUCUCUCGGCCGCCCCUGGCUGCCUCUGGCUGCUUCCAGCUGCCCCUGGCUGCCUUGGCCGACAGAUCUAUAUAGCCUUUCUGGCCGUGGGCCACUCGCCCACUUUCCUGGCAGCGCACGCCCACUCCCUGGUAGCGCGCCCAGCUUUCUGCGUGCGCACAUCUCUUGCACACGUCGUCCGUGCCGUGCCCCAGCUGGACUCCGCUAUUUCCGUGCGCACUCCGCUUUCUGCGUGCACACAUCUCCUGCGCCCACAAGCAGUGCCGCGCCUGCAUCCAUGCAGUGCCGCACCUGUUCCCGAGCUGUGCCACGCCCAUGCCCGAGUUGUGCUAUGCCCUGCCCGAGCAAUCACACCUACACCCACAAGCUGUGCCGCACCUGCGUCCAUGCAGUGCCGCGCCUGUGCCCGAGCUGUGCCACGCCCAUGCCCGAGUUG